CCCAGACUCCUACGGGAGGCAGCAGUGGGGAAUAUUGCACAAUGGGGGGAACCCUGAUGCAGCGACGCCGCGUGGGUGAAGGAGCGUUUCGGCGCGUAAAGCCCUAUCGGCAGGGAAGAAGGAGGACGGUACCUGACUAAGAAGCCCCGGCUAACUACGUGCCAGCAGCCGCGGUAAUACGUAGGGGGCAAGCGUUAUCCGGAUUUACUGGGUGUAAAGGGGGCGCAGACGGCAGCGCAAGCCAGGAGUGAAAGCCCGGGGCCCAACCCCGGGACUGCUCUUGGAACUGCGCGGCUGGAGUGCAGGAGGGGCAGGCGGAAUUCCUGGUGUAGCGGUGAAAUGCGUAGAUAUCAGGAGGAACACCGGUGGCGAAGGCGGCCUGCUGGACUGCGACUGACGUUGAGGCCCGAAAGCGUGGGGAGCAAACAGGAUUAGAUACCCGAGUA
rnacentral:rRNA from 1 species